rnacentral:rRNA from 1 species
GACGAACGCUGGCGGCGUGCCUAACACAUGCAAGUCGAGCGGAAGUUGGAGAGCUUGCUCUUCAACUUUAGCGGCGGACGGGUGAGUAACACGUGGGCAACCUGCCCUGCAGAUCGGGAUAACUCCGGGAAACCGGUGCUAAUACCGAAUAGUUUUCGCCACCUCCUGGUGGCGUACGGAAAGACGGUUUCGGCUGUCACUGCAGGAUGGGCCCGCGGCGCAUUAGCUAGUUGGUGGGGUAACGGCCCACCAAGGCGACGAUGCGUAGCCGACCGGAGAGGGUGAUCGGCCACACUGGGACUGAGACACGGCCCAGACUCCUACGGGAGGCAGCAGUAGGGAAUCUUCCGCAAUGGACGAAAGUCUGACGGAGCAACGCCGCGUGCGUGACGAAGGUUUUCGGAUCGUAAAACUCUGUUGUGAGGGAAGAACAAGUACCACUUAACUACUGGUACCUUGACGGUACCUCACCAGAAAGCCACGGCUAACUACGUGCCAGCCGCCGCAGUAA